rnacentral:rRNA from 1 species
GUGGGGAAUAUUGGACAAUGGGCGAAAGCCUGAUCCAGCCAUGCCGCGUGAGUGAUGAAGGCCUUAGGGUUGUAAAGCUCUUUCAGUAGGGAAGAUAAUGACGGUACCUACAGAAGAAGCCCCGGCUAACUUCGUGCCAGCAGCCGCGGUAAUACGAAGGGGGCUAGCGUUGUUCGGAUUUACUGGGCGUAAAGCGCACGUAGGCGGAUUGGUCAGUUAGAGGUGAAAUCCUGGAGCUCAACUCCAGAACUGCCUUUAAUACUGCCAGUCUAGAGUCCAGAAGAGGUGUGUGGAACUCCUAGUGUAGAGGUGGAAUUCUUAGAUAUUAGGAAGAACACCAGUGGCGAAGGCGGCUCACUGGUCUUGUACUGACUCUGAGGUACGAAAGCGUGGGGAGCAAACAGGAUUAGAUACCCGUGUAGUCC